ACUGUAGUGGUCGGAGAUAAGACAAGAGGAGUAUUAUGGAAUAUAGCUGGGACCCCUGAGACUAUCCAACUUCUCAGGUUCUCCAAUUAACAAAGUGGUAUCAUGUUUGUUUAUAAUUGUUGUGACCCUCCUACACACUGUAAAGGAUCUCUAGAUGAUGCAUCACUAGAAAUACUUUUCUAAAUAUGCUUGAUUAAAUCUGUGAAUGUGGAACCCACAGACAUGGAAGUAUAUAUAUAUCUUCUGUGUGUGUGUGUGUAUGUGUGUGUGUGUGUGUUUGUGCAUGUGUUUCUCUGUAUGUGCCUGUGUUUGUCUCAGCGCGUGUCUCUGCUUUUCUCUCUGUCUCUCUCUGUCUCUCUGUCUCUCUCUUUCUCUCUCUCUCUCUCUCUCUCUGUGUGUGUGUGUGUGUGUGUGUUUGUAUGUGAAGAGGAUGCAGUAACUUUGACAGAAGAAACAGACCAGAGGCAGAGACAUUCAACUCCAGCACAGGAGAUCAGAUGACAUUUUCAGGAGGAAACAAUUGCUAAACUUAACUAUGGAAAGCCAGUAGGACUUAGCCAGCCAAGAGAGAACAUGGAGGAUGGGUGGCAUCAUGAGCAAGGUAAGGUUUAGGCAGACAAGACAGCAUAAGAACAACUGGGGCUUGAGGGGAAGAGUAACUGGAUUAUUGUGUGGCUGGCAAGUGAUUUGGAGAGACAGAAAGAAUAGAAAGAAAACACUAAUAGAGGAUAGUGGACAAUUGAGUGUCAAGAAAGAGAAUUGUAGGCCACAGGAAACUUUCCAGAAGGGUUAAGAAAAAUAAGUCCUGAAUAAAAACUAGCAGAAGUUCCCAAGGAAGUGCUUGGGAGAGAUAGGUCCAUUGGAUGCUUAGGGCAGUAGUCAAUGGAGAUAAAUGUGGACAUCUAUAUCAAGGAAUCUGAAAGUGGAGCAAGAAUCAGAUUGCAGAUUUUUUAGGUAUGGUCUCACUGCUGUGAUAAAUGUGGCUUAGGGGAAAAUGGCUUAUUUUGGUUUGCAGUUCCCUAGGGAUACAGUUCACCACCACGGAGAAGACAUGACUACAGGCAGAGGAAGCAGGCCAGCAGGAACAGAAAGUGUGCUAAGAUACUAAGCUGCAAGGCCACACCCCUAAGACCACACCUCCUAAUAGUGCCCCACUCCCUGGGCCAAGCAUAUUCAAACCACCACAGUCCUAUUCCAUCAAAGGGUCCCUCUUACCUCCCUUAUGUGACUUUUCUGUUUAUGAUACUUGUUGUGAUUUAAAUGUGAAGUGUUCUCCAUAGACACUUUAAACACUUUGUCCAUAGCUGCUCGUCCUGUUUGGGAAGGUCUUGAACCUUUAGGAUGCCAAGCCUCCCCCAAGAGACGAAGGUGUGCCCUUGUUGGAGAAGGUGUGUCACUUCAAGUGAGACUUUGAAAUCCUCCUCCUAGUUGCCUGGAAUCCAGUCUUCUCCUUUUGCCUUCGUAAAAAAAAAAUAUGUAGAACUCUCAUCUCCUCCAGUGUCAUGCCUGCCUAGACACGGCCAUACUUCUUGCCAUGAUGGUAAUAGACUGAACCUCAGAACCUGUAAGCCAGCCUCAAUUAAAUGCAGUCCUUUGUAAGAGUUGCUUUGGUCAUUGUGUCUCUUCACAGCAAUGGGAACCCCAACAGGGACACUAGAGAAGGAGUCGAGGGCCAGGAUUCCAGCAGGUAGGACCAGUCUUGGCAGAAAAGAGGAAGUAGAGACAAAAAGGAAGAAUAAAAGAAUCAUUGAAAUGCCUAAGUCUUUUGAAGCAAAAUAUGAAAUAUGAUUUCCUGAGAGUAAAAAAAAGUGACUUGAGACAAGGAGGAGACAUGACUCAGACAGAAUGGAGAACAUGCUGGUACAAUAAGGAGAAAGGACCAGAACCUUGGAUGGAGGCCCUGAUAUCCCAGGGGAAAGCCCAGGAGCACAAAAACAUAUAUGUCCAAAAUCUGACUGCACUUUUGAGGUUUUCUCACUGAUGCUUGACAGGUCAGGGAGAAAGAGGAAACCAAUCAGAAAAUAUCACCAACCUUGAGGUAGGAGCUGGCUGAGUGGGAACCGUUAAGGAGCUGGAGAGAAGGGCAGCAGUACACAUGGCUCAGGCUGAGCAGAGAGAAGCUAGUGGCCAGAGCUGACAGCAGAGGAAGCCAGAGGCCAGAGCCGACACACAGAGUCCUGGAGGCCCGAGAUCAAUGAUUAGAAACAGCAAACUGGUUUUGUUUUAUUUCAUAGCAUUUACUAUAAUGGAUCAAUUUUCACAGACACUUGAACUGCCUUUUACUAAAAUGGGGAAUCUAAAGAAACUUACUCCUUACAAGUGAUUAAACUACGGACUGUGGGUGCAGGGAGAGUGGCUUCCAAGUGCUGGUUAAGUGUAGUGACAUUUUCCAUCAGAUUAGUGUUUUAGGAAAGCGGCACUUGAAGUCUAACAUGGGGAGGCUUCGUGAGAAUGAGCUGUGCUACAGUCAAUUGUUUGUGUCUCGGGCAGGUUUCCACCUGAAGGGCUGGCGAGGAGGACCCGUGAGGCUCACAGCCCACAGUCACAAGCCAUUUGCCUGCCUUGCCCAAGAAUGUCUCUCCCCAGCUUGAGAGUCUUAGUUUCGACAUUCUUAAACCCUUGAAUUAUUAUUGGUGGCGGCACAUUUAAGGGAGUUAAAAGAAAGCCGAAUGUCCUUCAUUGAUUUGAAGUGCACACUCUGGCAGGAUCACCAAAGCUUAGAGCAACAACGGAGCACCUUCUAUUCACAGAGUUACUGUCAGAGUCGAGUUUUGUACCCAGACAGGCUGAGCUCAAACGUCUUCCUUCUCCGCUCUGCUGUGCCUCUUAAAAGUCAUUCAGUGGGUCAAGUUUUCCAGACCCGAGACCAUCAGCUUGACUGGUCCAAGUUCCGCUUCCCAUCUGCCUAUGUUCCCAUCCUUUUUUCCGUAAAGUGCCUCCUUCAGCCAAGAGGCUCUUUACAAUGAGGCACAGGAUUUGAUUAUUGGCUUCUUUCAGCCUUGCCCACCUUCAAUUUCAGGGAUCCCGAUCACAACGCAGUUCUACCAACCUUACAUGUUCCACAAGGGGGCACUGUCUGACCAUAAAGCUGUGGUGUUUUUGCCUGUAGGCUAAAAUACAACCAGAGUCCCCCUAAUGUUUUCAUUCUGUUAUAAGAAAUGACCUUAUUCAAGCUACGUGCCUCAUUGUUAUUUCACGGAGAGGAAACAAAAGUAAAAAAAAAAAAAAAGGAAACCAUAUAAUGUUUGUGAACUGCUUUACCAUAAUUCAUUCACGAGGUUUCUGUUAGGCUGUAUGGAAUCCAUUAAGCAGGAUAUUGAAGCUUAUGAAUGGAAACCUAGUAAUUCCUCUUUAAUAACAUGAGUAUCUUUAUUUCUUAAACUUUAUUAGGCACUUACUCAAAACAUUACUGAAAAACGCUUGUUAAUAAUAUGAAUGAUGAUUUUGAUUCCGUUUGCAUUAUUACUGUGUCUAAAGGCCCCAAACACCAAGUCUGGAUUAUUCACGGAGGCUGGGAAAAUGGCUGGCAUUUGAAAGUAAAUCUUUGUGCCGGAGCUUAAGUCCAUCUUGACACUUCUCACCAACGCUUGUGUGGAAGGUAGAGGCGCCCACCACAGUGAUCUUUUUGUGCAGCAGACGCUCACACGUGAGCCUUCAAGAGGUAGUCACCUCUGAGGGUCACGAGUGACUGUGCUUGGCUUUCUAUGGGAAUAAAUGGAAGGAAACAACAAACAUGAAGGUAAAUUUACAGCUCAGUCUAUCUUGUCUUCCUACUGGUUAGACUUCUGAAGAUGGGAUUAGUGUGUCCUAGUCUACCUCUGUACUGCCGAUGAAAAAAUCCAGAAAGAUUUUUGAUUAACAUUUGGAAAUACACCCAAGAAAUCUACUAAAGCUCUUGGGAUUUCACAGCAGAGUGAUUUAGUAUAUGAGAAUUGAUCAGGACUCAGGAAGAUCCCCUUACUUGAAAAUUUAAAGAGAACCUUCAUCCUGCAUGGGAUGGAGGCCGGUGGCAAAAAGGCUCAGUCAGGUCUGAGGAGGCUCAUCUUGCUGGUCAACCUCUGUGCAGCAGAGAGCUAUGUAUUCCUGCCAGAAAAGGGCUCUGUGUAAACAAACCAGAAAUCUAGCUGGAAGUUAAAUUAAAAAAAUAUUGAAGUUAUUUUGAUAAAAACCUAAUUCAAUUGCUCUCAUUUAAAGUGACUUGGUAUGUCUAGAGACACAGGUGACUUUGAAGGCCAUCUCUAGUGAAGACUCUCAUGAUUACAUCUUCUCGGACCUCUCCUCUGACACAUGGCCUCUGACUCAUCUAAAUUCCUCCUUGAAAAUCCCAUGGAGGAGGUGACUCAGCCAUACCAAAGCAAAUUCCAUGAACUGGAAAUGCAGAAAGGGUCCUGAGACUAUACUUGCCUUUCUGGAUCCAUGAUGCAGCGAUCCAACAGCCGAGAAGAGGUCAACUGGAGGCUACGUACUCAGAUGUCCCUCAAUCAGUGCUGAGAACCAGUGAAGCCUUGUCUGGGAUUCGGGGUGGACCAUUUACUUAAUCUCCCUGCACUCUCAGCAUGUUGGGUAGCUUCUAAGGAUAAAGAGAAUGACCUCAUAAUGGUUGAAACCCAACAGCCUACUUUAGACUAGAAGGUGAGUCUGAAAAUGGAAACCAUGAGCCUAGAAGAUCAGGUACCAUUACGAGAGCUGUGACUAGCCGACCUUCAUGUUGAUUUCUGGGACAGUGGAAUCCACUUGUGUUUAUUGUUAAAACCUCUGUCAUUUCCUUGUGUCCUGCUGCAUCUAUUUGCUUCUGUUUACAUCUGAUGCUGGAGCACAUGAUAUACAAAUAUAAAUAAGAUCUAAAAAUAUGCAAAGCCGCCUGCUCAAAGGAAAGACUGGCAUGUCGUGGUGAACAGCCUUGGCAUAGUAAUUACUAGUGAAAUGGGGUACUGGGAGGAGAUGGAAAAUGCACACACAAUAUAUUCUAAAUUUUAUUUUUUCUUUUUGUUCUUCUUAUAUGUAUUAAAACACUAGUGCAGUACUGGUAGGACUCCAAAAUUGAAGAGUCCUCUGGGACUCUGGGAGUAGAAAUCAUGUAGGGUUAACCUACAGACUCUAUCCUCUACCUACCUCUCACACCUCUUGUGACCCAAGCUGGAUAAAGAGACAUAAACCUGAUGAUGCUCUUGACUCUUUCCCUUGGAGGCCCAAACAUCUCUCUAUCUCCAUCAUCUUCUUCAUCUACUUAUCUCCUCCAUCUUCUUAGCUCUUUGUUGACUCUCAAAGAGACUCAGAGGUCCAGAGAAAGCCAGGCUUCAGCCAGAAGCCAUGAUUCCUUUCCAGGAGUCAC